AUGAAUGUAAUGAAUGUAGAAACUCUUUCAGUCAAACUUCAUGCCUUAUUCAGCAUCAAAAAAUGCAUAGGAAAGAUACAUCAUAUGAACGUAAUGAGUAUGGGCAGUUUCGGUCAUAACUCAGAUCUUAUCCUGCAACAAGAAGUUCUCACCAGACAGAAAGUCUUUGAUUGUGAUGUAUAUAGGAAAAGAACUCAAGUCAGAGAGCACACCUGGUUCAACAUCAGAGCAUUCAUACCAAAGAGAACUUGUGAGUGUAAUGAAGACUGGAAUAAAGAGCCAAUCUCUCUCGUGGCACAGGGGAAGAUACAAGCUUGCUUACAUUUGACAGAUCUAACAAAGACAUCUAUCUGCCAAGGUCUGGAUGGACGUGCAGGGAGCUCUUAGGUCAGUGCUGCUGGUUGGAGGACAUCCCUAAGUCCGGUUUUGCAGACUUUGUGCAGCAGUAUUCUCUCAGGACCCACCGGAAAUUCUUAGAGUUCACCUGGACAUUUCACUUCCGGUUUCCACUUCAUUUCAGUUUCCAAGUGUCAGAGGAGUUCAGGACUGUCUGGCAUGGAGCCCUCCUCAGCACCUCAAUUCAGCAUUACCUACUCAAGGCAUGAAAUAAAAGGAAAUAGAUUUUAAGUAUGAAGCCUGCUCUUUUAGGCCCUGCUGAAGAAACCAUUUCAGACGGAAUUGGAAUGGAGAAACCAGGCACUCAGCUCGGCGCAAGCAGGCGUCGCCUUCAUACCAGAGAACCUCUCCUCCUGUGUGGUGCAAGUGGGGCCUCGGCUUGAGGUCAGCAUUCUAGCUGCCCAGCGCUCCCUCUCUGGCACCUCGGAGAGGACUGUUGACUCGACAGGCCUGGGUCACGAGCAGCUGCAGGAGAAUGAAGACCCGGGAUGUGAUGAAACAGAACCAGAGCUCCCAAGUUUACUCCGCCAGCUUCUGGCAUAACAGCAUCUCGAAGAUGAGCUUGAGACUCAAGACCGUUAGGACCCAGAAAAGGCGGAGCACCGUCAGCCGCUUCUCUCUGUCCUAGAAGAGGAUCAGGGACACGAUGGUGGUGAAGCAGGCGCUGAGCCCGUCAGCGGCGAAGAAAGGCACGAACGCGUUCCAUCAGGAAAGGCCUGGGACCAGGCCAUCCACAUGCAGUGUCAGCAAGUGCACGAAGAUCUCGAAGGUGGCAAAGCCCAGCCACUGCACCAGCUUCCGGAGCUAGAAGAGCAUCGCGCCUGUUGAGUGCGGGCGGGGACCGGCCUAGCGUGCCACCCGCGGUGCUGCGUCUCUUCUCCCCGUGGCCCUGGACUAGGCCUGCCCGAGCUGCUGAGAGCUAGAGGCAGCCACCUGCUGGUCAGCUUCGGCCUCGGCCCUGGUGCGCCCCCAAUCCCCAGGCCCGGCCCGGAACUCAACACUGGCCUCCCGCGGACGCCCACCUCGCUAGGACUCCAUGCUCCUCUGGGCGGUAAUUUUUGAAUUAUCAUUUCAACCUCACUGCUUGUUUAUUGGUCUGUUCAGUGUAUCUAAUUCUUCCUGAUUUAGGCUAGGAAGGUGGUAUAUUUCCAGGAAUUUAUCCAUUUUCCCUAGGUUUUCUAGUUUAUGUGCAUAAAGGUGUUCAUCGUAGCCUUGAAUGAUCUUUUGUAUUUCUUUGGUGUCAGUUGUAAUAACUCCCGUUUCAUUUCUAAUUGAGUUUAUUUGGAUUUUCUCUCUUCUUCGUUAACCUUGCUAAUGGUGUAUCAACUUUAUCUUUUGAAAGAACCAGCAUUUUUUUUUUCAUUGAUCUUUUGUAUUGCUUUGUUUCGAUUUCAUUUAGCUCUGCUUGGAUCUUGGUUAUUUUCUUUCUUCUGCUGGAUUUGGGUCUGUUUUUUUCUUGUUUCUCU
ensembl:lncRNA